AGAGUUUGAUCCUGGCUCAGAUUGAACGCUAGCGGCAUGCUUUACACAUGCAAGUCGAACGGCAGCGCGGGGCAACCUGGCGGCGAGUGGCGAACGGGUGAGUAAUACAUCGGAACGUGCCCUGUGAUGGGGGAUAACUACGCGAAAGCGUAGCUAAUACCGCAUACGACCCAAGGGUGAAAGUGGGGGAUCGCAAGACCUCACGUCAUAGGAGCGGCCGAUGGCGGAUUAGCUAGUUGGUGGGGUAAAGGCUUACCAAGGCGACGAUCCGUAGCUGGUCUGAGAGGACGACCAGCCACACUGGGACUGAGACACGGCCCAGACUCCUACGGGAGGCAGCAGUGGGGAAUCUUGGACAAUGGGCGCAAGCCUGAUCCAGCAAUGCCGCGUGUGGGAUGAAGGCCUUCGGGUUGUAAACCACUUUUGGCGGGGGCGAAAUAUCGAGUGCUAAUACCAUUCGGUGAUGACGGUACCCGCAGAAUAAGCACCGGCUAACUACGUGCCAGCAGCCGCGGUAAUACGUAGGGUGCAAGCGUUAAUCGGAAUUACUGGGCGUAAAGCGUGCGCAGGCGGUUAGGUAAGACAGAUGUGAAAUUCCCGGGCUCAACCUGGGAACUGCAUUUGUGACUGCCUGACUAGAGUGCGGCAGAGGGAAGUGGAAUUCCGCGUGUAGCAGUGAAAUGCGUAGAU
rnacentral:rRNA from 1 species